GAUGAACGCUGGCGGCGUGCCUAAUACAUGCAAGUCGAGCGAAUGGAUUAAGAGCUUGCUCUUAUGAAGUUAGCGGCGGACGGAUGAGUAACACGUGGGUAACCUGCCCAUAAGACUGGGAUAACUCCGGGAAACCGGGGCUAAUACCGGAUAACAUUUUGAACCGCAUGGUUCGAAAUUGAAAGGCGGCUUCGGCUGUCACUUAUGGAUGGACCCGCGUCGCAUUAGCUAGUUGGUGAGGUAACGGCUCACCAAGGCAACGAUGCGUAGCCGACCUGGGAGGGUGAUCGGCCACACUGGGACUGAGACACGGCCCAGACUCCUACGUGAGGCAGCAGUAGGGAAUCUUCCGCAAUGGACGAAAGUCUGACGGAGCAACGCCGCGUGAGUGAUGAAGGCUUUCGGGUCGUAAAACUCUGUUGCUAGGGAAGAACAAGUGCUAGUUGAAUAAGCUGGCACCUUGACGGUACCUAACCAGAAAGCCACGGCUAACUACGUGCCAGCCGCCGCCGUAA
rnacentral:rRNA from 1 species